rnacentral:rRNA from 1 species
CCAAUAGCGUAUAUUAAAGUUGUUGCAGUUAAAAAGUUCGUAGUUGAACUUCGGGGUUUACCCAUUGGUCAGGCUUAAUUGUCUGUACUGGUGAGAUAAAUCUCUACCUUCUGAGGAACUUUCAUGUCAUUAAUUUGGUGUGAUUGGAAAUCAGGACUGUUACUUUGAAAAAAUUAGAGUGUUUAAAGCAGGCUAACGUCUGAAUACAUUAGCAUGGAAUAAUGAAAUAGGACGGACUGAUUCUAUUUCGUUGGUUUCUAGGAUCACCGUAAUGAUUAAUAGGGAUAGUUGGGGGCAUUAGUAUUCAAUUGUCAGAGGUGAAAUUCUUGGAUUUAUUGAAGACUAACUACUGCGAAAGCAUUUGCCAAGGAUGUUUUCAUUAAUCAAGAACGAAAGUUAGGGGAUCGAAGACGAUCAGAUACCGUCGUAGUCUUAACCAUAAACUAUGCCGACUAGGGAUCGGACGAAGUUAAUUUUUUAAUGACGCGUUCGGCACCUUACG